GCCGUCUCCGACGCGGGUGUGCGGAGCGGAGCCCGCGGCCCCUGCUUCGGGACGAUUCUCUAGAGGCCGCGGCCAGGGGUCGCACAGCGGCGGGAUGUCACAGAGGGAUGGUGGACAGAUGACCUCUUUCUGUGGUUCUGCGGAAUGAGCUGUAGCAAAACCAGUGCUGGACCUGGAUGCUAAGGGUGAAGAUGGCAGAUCUUCAUGAGAAGUGGAAACGUGGGGACUAGAUGGGUCGCUGAGAGAUGUGGUCCUAAGGUCUGCUCACUCACAGAUCAGGAGGGGUGGUUCACAUCAAGAGCCCCACCAUGCGAUCCUCCCACUCUGCUUAAUCA